CACUUAUAUGUAUGUAUAUAAUUACUUAAAUGCUAGACACGCUCCUUUGCUACAUAUGUUAUUGAAUUUGUUUAUAGAUGUCGCCUUAAAAUAACUUGGAGCUCUGUGUGUGUGUGUUAGCGCGAGUAUUGUGUGGAUAUGCAUAUGGGCAGGACGGCUAGUUGCUGCUAGAGCUUGACUCGCUGGGAUCUAGUCCUUAUAUAUAGAUAAGUCGGGGUGAGCACAGCUUUAAGUUGAUCUCACUGGCUUCUGCACUUGAAUUAUUAAGGGAAAGUCCGGAUUGAGUUGACCUCGUUAGCAGGUAUUAGAUUAAGAAAAUUGUAUGGGGGAUCAGCUCUCAUAUAUGUAUUGAUGUGACACAUGGGUGCAUGCAUACUCUAAGUUAUCUUUUGUACGAAUAUUAGUUGAAUUGUUUGAACUACGUGAA
rnacentral:misc_RNA from 1 species